GCCAGGCGUGGUGGCGCAUGCCUGUAAUUCUAGCUACUCGGGAGGCUGAGGCACGAGAAUCGCUUGAACCUGGGAGGUGGAGGUUGCAGUGAGCCGAGAUCAUGCCACUGCACUCUGCCCUGGGUGACAAAGUGAGAUUCUGUCUUAA
ensembl:misc_RNA Metazoa_SRP Metazoan signal recognition particle RNA